rnacentral:lncRNA from 1 species
AUGUUACACAAUUGUGUCCCAUACAUUAAUCAGCAGGAAGCCUUUGGACACUAAUAACAAUCUGUUCGUAUAUUAUAGACAUAUAUACCCUGAAGCCAAUAAAUGACCAUGUCUACUGUGAACUAACAUGUAACCGUCAGGGGUUAAUUGCAUAGUUUGACAAUUAACCACAUAUUACUAUUACUCCAUAAACAGACGACUAUGUAACCGGCCUACACCUAUAGACAUUUGUAUGGACCACUGGACUAUAUAAGAUCCCUCAAUGGACUACAAGGACAGAAUUCGAUUAGACGACAAUUCGAUAAGGACGGAUUGGUACAAGAGAUU